rnacentral:rRNA from 1 species
GACAGAGGUGCCGAGCGUUAGGCGGAAUCACUGGGCUUAAAGCGCGUGUAGGCGGCCCGGCACGUCCGUCGCUGAAAUCCCCCGGCUCAACCGGGGAAGUGGCGUGGAUACGACCGGGCUGGAGGGGGGUAGGGGGAGCCGGAACUUCCGGUGGAGCGGUGAAAUGCGUUGAGAUCGGAAGGAACGCCCGUGGCGAAAGCGGGCUCCUGGACCCCACCUGACGCUGAGACGCGAAAGCCAGGGGAGCGAACGGG